UACGUAGGGGGCAAGCGUUGUCCGGAAUCACUGGGCGUAAAGCGCACGUAGGCGGCUUUUUAAGUCAGGGGUGAAAUCCUGGAGCUCAACUCCAGAACUGCCUUUGAUACUGGGAGCUUGAGUCCGGGAGAGGUGAGUGGAACUCCGAGUGUAGAGGUGAAAUUCGUAGAUAUUCGGAAGAACACCAGUGGCGAAGGCGGCUCACUGGCCCGGUACUGACGCUGAGGUGCGAAAGCGUGGGGAGCAAACAGG
rnacentral:rRNA from 1 species